UGCAUCCUCGUCAAAUCUGGAUAGACUUACGCAAACAGCCACUUCCAUUGCGGUAUCCGUCACCAGCAAAUCCAUCCUUGCACAAGCAGUUGUAACCCGGUGCUCCCAGGUACCUCCCACAUCAACUCAACGCCAUAGCUCGAGUCACUCGGCACGUAACUCUUUGGGAAGAUCACGCUGGAGAAGCCGCAAGACCUUGGAGCACAGCUCGUCAAAACAACACUCCGAGCUCCAGCCGGAAUCGUGGUGACGCAGCAGUCUUCAAGCGUGCAAAACGGAUAGCGGGCGCUAGCGGUGCGAUUGCCGGAGUUGGGACAACCGGUCUGGCACCUGGACGCAGUCGGGUAGAGAUCCGUGGAGUAGUUGCCCCCGGCAUUGCAACCGGUGAGGAAGAACUCGUUGUUCCCGGAGAGGAAGUAUGGAGACGUUGGCUUCAAGCCCAAGCUCGCGGUGGCCUCGCUCCCGUUGCAAGACGUGGCCUUGAGGCUGGUCGCGUCGAUCACCAGAGUCGUGGCAGUGACUUGGAGGACACGGAAGCUCUCGGUGUCGGUGUGGAGGAGGAGAGCGAAGUGCUCUUGGUGGUGCUGCUUGGAGCUGCUACACUCGAGCUGGAGCUGGGGGUGACCGCAUCCAGGAAGCGAGCUGAGCGGCGAAGUGGCGAUGAUGGUGAUGCUCGCAACGAUCAAGCAAAGUAGUGAAGGAAUUAUCGAGCAAAGUUGUGGACAAGGUAUAGAAGAAGAAGAAGAAUAUUUGGGAGGAGAGCGCAUUGCUUUUCUUUACCGGGAAGCUGAUCAAGGCUUGUUUGGUGGUGCCUGAUAAAGGCGACAGCGACAAAUCCAUGGCGAUCGAAUCAACGUUUGGUGGCGGAACUAAAAACGAAAUGGAGAGAAGAGCGUGUGGUUUGUGUUAGACAGAGUUGCGUUAGUAGUCCAACGGUCAGGAUAAUUGCCUUCCAAGCAAUAGACCCGGGUUCGACUCCCGGCUAACGCAUGCCUCUUUUCUCUUCUUUUUAUAUCUAAAAAGUGCCUAUUCAUUGCGUUA